rnacentral:lncRNA from 1 species
GAAGGAAGGACAAUCCGGUCCUUGGAGCUUUAGUUUAAAUUUUGGAGGAAUCUGGUACCUAAGGUGCAAUAUUUCUAUGUCUUCUUGUGUGAGCAUGGAGGCCACUCGAAAAGGGCUAAAGCUAGGCAUUUUCCUUACCUCAGAACCAUUUGAGGAACAUCCAUUGUUGGAUACAGGGUCCACGUCGAUUGGGUUGUCAUUCGAGGUCCAGGUGGGUGGGGAUGAGCUCGGCACACUCAUUC